CUUUAUUGCAAGGAAUGGAUCUUAGUUCACCUUUUAUUGAUGUAACAAAUAAAUGUAUAUCAUAACGAGACAAGUUAUGAAAAACUACAGGGAAAAAGGGAUCGCUUAAUCUAAAUUUCUGUUUACCCAACUUAUGAAUAGGACCUACAUAUUGACCUGCAUAGCAAACGCCAUGUUCCUGGUAAUCCUCAUCCCAAAUGUUAAACUGGUAGAUUGGUUUUUUAUAGGACUUCCAGUACAUCUCAUAAAGUCCAUCGGUUUUCAUCCUAAGUGCUUUACAACAUUUUUGGAAACAAUCCGGUCCUGAAAUAACAAAAUCAUAAUGUUUAUGAGUUUAUUACCUUUGCUGGAUUGUGAAAAUAUUUACCACAUCUCAUUAAGGUGAGCAUUGUAUUUAUGUAAAAUAUAAAAUGCUGCACAUUCUGUAUGCCUCUGUACCUCUGUA